GCUGGUGAAAUAGCUCAGUUGGUAGAGUGUGUGCCUCGCAUGUACAAGGCCCUGGGUUCAAUCCCCAGCACCACACA
rnacentral:tRNA from 1 species